GAUGAACGCUGGCGGCGUGCCUAAUACAUGCCAGUCGAGCGAACAGAUGAGGAGCUUGCUCCUCUGACGUUAGCGGCGGACGGGUGAGUAACACGUGGAUAACCUACCUAUAAGACUGGGAUAACUUCGGGAAACCGGAGCUAAUACCGGAUAAUAUAUUGAACCGCAUGGUUCAAUAGUGAAAGACGGUUUUGCUGUCACUUAUAGAUGGAUCCGCGCCGCAUUAGCUAGUUGGUAAGGUAACGGCUUACCAAGGCAACGAUGCGUAGCCGACCUGGGAGGGUGAUCGGCCACACUGGAACUGAGACACGGUCCAGACUCCUACGGGAGGCAGCAGUAGGGAAUCUUCCGCAAUGGGCGAAAGCCUGACGGAGCAACGCCGCGUGAGUGAUGAAGGUCUUCGGAUCGUAAAACUCUGUUAUUAGGGAAGAACAAAUGUGUAAGUAACUAUGCACGUCUUGACGGUACCUAAUCAGAAAGCCACGGCUAACUACGUG
rnacentral:rRNA from 1 species